AUCGCAGCCUGCAACCCGGCUGCGUGAAGCUGGAAUCGCUAGUAAUCGCGGAUCAGAAUGCCGCGGUGAAUACGUUCCCGGGUCUUGUACACACCGCCCGUCACACCAUGGGAGCCGGAAACGCCCGAAGCCAGUGGCCUGACCGUAAGGAGGGAGCUGUCGAAGGCGGGUCCGGUGACCGGGGUGAAGUCGUAACAAGGUAAC
rnacentral:rRNA from 1 species